CAGAUGGUGAUGGCAGUUUUUGCAUAUAUUUAUCAUCAAUCAUUUGUUGUGCCGCAAAGUCUGUCAGUUGAAAUGAUUUUGGAUCAGAUAUUGAUGAACCUAUCAUUUGAAGAACAACGAGAUCUUUAUACAAGGCUGGGUCAGAUGCUGAGUGGAGGCUUUCAGAGGCGGCGUUAGAUUUCUACUUUGUGAUUUCAUCAUCAUUAAUUAAUUAAUGAGGGAUGAUUAAUAGAGAUAAUUUGUACAUGCUUGUUCUAAUUUCUUAGAUAAUAUUGUUUGAAAAACCAAGAAGCUGCCUAUCAGGAUGUGUAUAGUAGACCUUUACCACUAAUGUUUAACUAAAUUUCUGCUUUAGCACUUGAAAGGUGAUUACGCUUUUUUCUUUUUGAAAUAAAAUUGUAACAUUGGUCUUUUAAA